rnacentral:misc_RNA from 1 species
CAUACAUAUAAUUCUAAGCUAUACUAGUCCUGGAGAGUGGAUAUUCAUCACCUAUUUUAGCUAUUGUUGAUGAUCUUGGUUAUCUAUUUGUUCAUUGAUUUAAAAAUUACAAAACUUUUUUAUCAUAUGAAUGAGAUCUCAAGUUUGUGCAAAUUGUACCUCUACGUGCUCUAUCAUGUAUGCAAACCAUUGGAUGGGGUUCUGUGCAUCGGAAUUGGAACUGUAAAUUCAUGGUGAUAUAACUGUAAGCUAAGUUAUAAUUUGUGUGGUGAUGGGGAUUAGAGUGCAUAACCAUUAGCCUGUACCUAUGGAUCAUGGUUUGCCAUUGUUUCAUAUUCUAGCAUGCAUGAUUGUUUUCAAAAAAUGAAGAUCUUGAGUUGUAAAUUAAUGGUUAG